GCCCUUCUAAUGAAAAACCUUAAGAUCAACCUAAGUACCAAUGCACCCAAUCAAUUUUUUGUUAUAGUGGUUGUUCGCAACAAAUUUUCGUUAGUGCUGAAAAUUAACUGCAAGCAAAAAUAAAAUAAAUAAAAAGAAUUAUUUUAUUUAAAUGAAUCUUGUGAGUAUAAUUAUGUUGUUCUCUUGAUUCUUCUCUCCUAAACUUAGAAAUUAUCUGAGGGCCUUCAGUAGCUUGUUUCUCGAAUCGUUGGAUGAUUGGCCUCCUAGAGACGUAUUUCAAUCGUCAGGAAUGUCGAAAAGUGUUUUGUCGCUUUGGAAUAAUCUCCGGGAAGAACUCCGCUGAUUGCUCCUUGCAAGAACUUGAUAGUCAAUGCAGACAUUGCCAAUGCUUGUCAAAGUCCUCUUUUCCC
rnacentral:lncRNA from 1 species